CCCGUCACGCCAUGGGAGUCGGUAGCACCCGAAGUCGUCGGCCCAACUCCGCGCAAGCGGAGAGGGAGACGCCUAAGGUGAGAUCGAUGACUGGGGCG
rnacentral:rRNA from 1 species